UACGAAGGGUGCUAGCGUUGUUCGGCCUCCCUGUUCUUCCCUCUCUCUUAGGUGGCUUUUCAAGUCAGGGGUGAAAUCCCACGGCUCAACCGUGGAACUGCCUUUGAAACUGUAAAGCUUGAGUGUCGGAGGGGAUAGCGGAAUUGCUAAUGUAGAGGUGAAAUUCGUAGAUAUUAGCAGGAACACCGGUGGCGA
rnacentral:rRNA from 1 species